GCUCCCCUUCGGAUUGGUUUGUUGGCUCCAGUGGUCUUCGACAUGGCUGUCUGCUAUCCCCUUACAAAUUCAUUUUAUAUUUUGAAGGUUUUUCUACGCUUCUUCAUUAUGCGGUGUACUCUCAAAUACUGAAAGUUUAUGGACUGCAGGAUGGUCCAAAUAUUUCGCAUGUUUUCUAUGCAGAUGAUUGUCUUCUAGUAGCCCGUAAC
rnacentral:lncRNA from 1 species